UAGGGAAUAUUGGUUAAUGUGCGAAAGCGCGAACCAGCAACGCCGCGUGUGCGAUGAAGGCCUUCGGGUUGUAAAGCACUUUUCGAGGGGAUGAGGAAGGACAGUACCCUCGGAAUAAGCCUCGGCUAACUACGUGCCAGCAGCCGCGGUAAAACGUAGGAGGCGAGCGUUAUCCGGAUUUACUGGGCGUAAAGCGCGUGCAGGCGGUUGUGUAAGUUGGAUGUGAAAGCUCCUGGCUUAACUGGGAGAGGUCGUUCAAUACUGCACAACUAGAGGAUGGGAGAGGGAGGCGGAAUUCCGGGUGUAGUGGUGAAAUGCGUAGAUAUCCGGAGGAACACCAGUGGCGAAAGCGGCCUCCUGGCCCAUAACUGACGCUCAUACGCGAAAGCUAGGGUAGCAA
rnacentral:rRNA from 1 species